UACGAAGGGGGCUAGCGUUGUUCGGAUUUACUGGGCGUAAAGCGCACGUAGGCGGAUCUUUAAGUCAGAGGUGAAAUCCCAAGGCUCAACCUUGGAACUGCCUUUGAUACUGGGGAUCUUGAGUCCGGGAGAGGUGAGUGGAACUGCGAGUGUAGAGGUGAAAUUCGUAGGUAUUCGCAAGAACACCAGUGGCGAAGGCGGCUCACUGGCCCGGUACUGACGCUGAGGUGCGAAAGCGUGGGGAGCAAACAGG
rnacentral:rRNA from 1 species